rnacentral:lncRNA from 1 species
ACCCAUCUUAAAUUAUUUGGUAUAUUUGCAUUGGAAUCAAUUUUCAGUGUCCCUGAUGUAGUGAUGAUUUUAUAUCGCCCUUAAUAGUUGGUGAAAUUGUAGAUGUGCAUACACUUGAUGUAGCAAUAUCAUGGCGAACAUCCACACUAAUAUUGUUUGUUGGCACACUGUGCCACCUUGGCUGCUGCUUCAUAAACGACUUAAUGGGAUGGCACAUGAGGCAACAUGCUGCUACUCUCCUGUCAUCUAGUGCUUAACAAAAUCUUAUCUGUCGCAUGAAUACUGCUAAGUUUGCAUAAUCUGUACAGUUUUCGACUUAAACAUGUCCUAAAUCCAUAUAUCGGCAACAUUAUAUCUGUGUGUGUGGCUGGACACAUGGUCUUGUACCUCCUCUCUCUAUUUUAGUUAUGAUAAGCUGAUGGUGCAUUGACAUGCUACUGUGUACUUCUCUGCCCUGUCCAUUCACAUGUUUCUUUUGGUAGGUUUCAUCGGUUCUGGGACCCAAAUUGCUGAGGGGACUUCCACAACUUGUAUUGCUUGAUUUCCCUGUCUGAGACUACAAUCUUGUCCUAGGUGGAUUCUCCUUUCUCCUUCCCUCAUUUAUCUGCUACGAAUUCAUGUCUAUUGGCAAAUUAAAUUGUCCCUGUUGAAGCCAAAAUUUACAAAUAUCCAUGAUGAGGCCUGAUGUCUCGUAUUAUGACUUAAUCUUGAUGAUCGAGGAAGUUAGCUUUCAGGCAAUUGACUUGCUGUUCUAUGCAAAAAAAAAACCCCGUCUAGGUAGCCCCUGCUUAGUUUACAUUUAUGAUCAAGGUCUUGUGAUGAAAAUGUUGUCCUACCCUGAGAUUGUGAAAGCUGUCCAUCUGUAUGUGUCUAAGGAGAAGGUCUUGAGUUUUGAAGUUGCAGCUUUCUGUAGCUUCAAGAUAUGAAUAUCAUUUCAUCUAAUAUUAUUGUCUCUUGGAAGGUGAGGGAAACGAGGGAUCUUACGGGCGAAUCUUUUCCAAGACUGAACCAGCAGGGGACUAGAACUGAACAGCCACACCCAGCUCGCUCAAAAAAAGGUGCACUUCUUCCAUCGAGGUAAAGAUCCGCCAAGGGGCAUGGUUUACUGCACCCAAAUUCCCAACCCAAACCACAUUAUCAUGCCUCCUUGAAAAAUGAAUUUUGUUACAAAUUUUGCCUAAUCUGCUAUAUGCAAGUAAACCAAGCAUUAGCAAGUGAGGUAACCUUGGGCAUUAGACUUCGAUGUCGGGUCCAGUUUAUUUAGUUUUUUGGGGCACCUAUACUGGGCUGACAUUAAGAGAGCUCAUGUUGUUCAUGCAAAUUAUAUUAUCAUUGUCGUCGAAUGCUAAUAUUGAUCAUAAUAUAGGCUGCUUCCAAAGUAAUAUUUGAAGUACUGAUCCAAGAACUAAGGCUCGUGGUAUUGAGUUAGGUGAUGAAUUUACCCAUGUGUGCAUAGAUCAACCUAUUCUUGAUAAUGAGGAGUUGGUAAGGGAAGUUUCCAAUUGCAAGACAAUUGGCGAGGCUUUCUCUUCGGGAUACUUAAUUGCAUGGCCUUUCGCUUUUGAAAGUUAAAAUAUUCUCUUACACAUUCUGAAAUCAUAUUUGUGUACAUUUAAUUACAUAUAUCUAAGGUGCAAUUUUCUUUUACAGAUUCGAGAGAAGGAUAAUUGAUUUGCAGCGGAAUUCUUGGAUCAAGAAGCAAAUAAAAUUUGAAGAUUUUAGCUACCAAUAGUCGUAGUUUACAUACAUAGAUUGAAAAAUGUAAUAUCAUCAAGAAGGAUCUUUUUCUUUUGUCGAAUUGAUGCAAAUGCUAUGUUGUAAUAUUCUCCAUAGUUGUGUUCUCUACGCUCAAAAUGAUAUGAAUGAUAUCUUUACUGUAAUGCAUACGUAUCAUAUGCUCUUGUAUAUUCGUAAUAAAUAGCUUCAUAUUUUGAAUUUCUAUAUGUGUUGUGCUUCAAUUUAUAUAUCAUUUUG